rnacentral:tRNA from 1 species
GGCGGCGUAGCUCAGUUGGUUAGAGCGAGCGGCUCAUACCCGCUAUGUCAUCCGUUCGAUCCGGAUCGCCGCCACCA